rnacentral:ncRNA from 2 species
GUUCAUCUUCAGGGCAGGGUGUGAUUCCCGACCGGCGGUAACAGUCCGCGACCUACUCCUCGAGUAGUUGAUUCGGUGCAAUUCCGAUACCGACAGUAAAGUCUGGUAUAAAGAAGAUUGGG